GACGAACGCUGGCGGCGUGCUUAACACAUGCAAGUCGAGCGGAGUGGAUAGGAGCUUGCUUCUUGAAACUUAGCGGCGGACGGGUGAGUAACACGUGGGCAACCUGCCUUUAAGAGGGGGAUAACACAGAGAAAUUUGUGCUAAUACCGCAUAAAGCUACAUCUUCGCAUGGAGGAGUAGCCAAAGGAGAAAUCCGCUUAGAGAUGGGCCCGCGGCGCAUUAGCUAGUUGGUGAGGUAAUGGCUCACCAAGGCCACGAUGCGUAGCCGACCUGAGAGGGUGAUCGGCCACAUUGGAACUGAGACACGGUCCAGACUCCUACGGGAGGCAG
rnacentral:rRNA from 1 species